rnacentral:rRNA from 1 species
GGUUACUGCUAUUGGUGUUCGACUAAGCCAUGCAAGUCAUAUGUUCCUCGUGAACAUGGCAUACUGCUCAGUAACACGUGGAUAACCUGCCCUUGGGUCUGGGAUAACCCCGGGAAACUGGGGAUAAUACUGGAUAACGCAUAUGUGCUGGAAUGCUUUAUGCGUAAAACGGAUUCGUCCGCCCAAGGAUGGGUCUGCGGCCUAUCAGGUAGUAGUGGGUGUAAUGUACCUACUAGCCAACAACGGGUACGGGUUGUGAGAGCAAGAGCCCGGAGAUGGAUUCUGAGACAUGAAUCCAGGCCCUACGGGGCGCAGCAGGCGCGAAAACUUUACAAUGCGGGAAACCGUGAUAAGGGAACACCGAGUGCCAGCAUCAUAUGCUGGCUGUCCAGAUGUGUAAACUACAUCUGUUAGCAAGGGCCGGGCAAGACCGGUGCCAGCCGCCGCGGUAACACCGGCGGCCCGAGUGGUGACCGUUAUUAUUGGGUCUAAAGGGUCCGUAGCCGGUUUGGUCAGUCCUCCGGGAAAUCUGAUAGCUUAACUGUUAGGCUUUCGGGGGAUACUGCCAGGCUUGGAACCGGGAGAGGUAAGAGGUACUACAGGGGUAGGAGUGAAAUCUUGUAAUCCCUGUGAGACCACCUGUGGCGAAGGCGUCUUACCAGAACGGGUUCGACGGUGAGGGACGAAAGCUGGGGGCACGAACCGGAUUAGAUACCCGGGUAGUCCCAGCCGUAAACUAUGCUCGCUAGGUGUCAGGCAUGGCGCGACCGUGUCUGGUGCCGCAGGGAAGCCGUGAAGCGAGCCACCUGGGAAGUACGGCCGCAAGGCUGAAACUUAAAGGAAUUGGCGGGGGAGCACAACAACGGGUGGAGCCUGCGGUUUAAUUGGACUCAACGCCGGACAACUCACCGGGAACGACAGCAAUAUGUAGGCCAGGCUGAAGACCUUGCCUGAAUCGCUGAGAGGAGGUGCAUGGCCGUCGCCAGUUCGUACUGUGAAGCAUCCUGUUAAGUCAG